CAUCCACAAAAUAGCUCUGUCAUUUCGCUUGCUUCUGUAUAAUUAAGCUGAUUGGAAGUAAAGUUGUCAGCCUACAACUCAUUGUACUGUGAAGCUUCUUGACUUGUAAAUUUGCUCUUGCAACACAGUCUGUUUGUAGGUGUGGUGAAGGAGAAAUCAGUUAAUUGCAUUCUACCCCAUUGCUGCAGAGCUGAAUUUUCAUCAAUGAAUUGCAGGCUGCUUUUGCACUCCAGAGGAUGCUCCAAGAUGCUUACAGCAUGGCAGUUAAAAUGCAAAGAUACUCCAACCAGAUACUCCAAUGGGAAGCCCAAAAGCAAGACUGGGGUGCAAAAGGGCUCUGGUUACAUUAUUCUGUUCUUAACAGCUGCUGAUAGACCCAUCUCAGGAUUAUUAUUUUUCAGCCGAAACUCACCAGCACUCAGUUUCGGCACCUCUCAGGUGGGCACCAUUGCCAUUACAAGAGAACAAGGCAUUCAUGGUGAGUUCCGGCACCACUUUUUCUAGCACUGCCCAUCACCCAUGAAUUUGUCACAAUUUAAAAAGCCAUUUCAUGCUACUAUUCACCCCAUACCUUCCAGCAUUGCAUUCCAUAUCACAAUUACCGUUUCUAUGCAUUCCAGUCAUCUGCAGAAAUCUAGCAGAUUCUCUUCCAGGAGAAAGAUAGAGAGGGGGGAAA